GACGAACGCUGGCGGCGUGCUUAACACAUGCAAGUCGAACGGAAAGGCCCUGCUUUUGUGGGGUGCUCGAGUGGCGAACGGGUGAGUAACACGUGAGUAACCUGCCCUUGACUUUGGGAUAACUUCAGGAAACUGGGGCUAAUACCGGAUAGGAGCUCCUGCUGCAUGGUGGGGGUUGGAAAGUUUCGGCGGUUGGGGAUGGACUCGCGGCUUAUCAGCUUGUUGGUGGGGUAGUGGCUUACCAAGGCUUUGACGGGUAGCCGGCCUGAGAGGGUGACCGGCCACAUUGGGACUGAGAUACGGCACAGACUCCUACGGGAGGCAGCAGUGGGGAAUAUUGCACAAUGGGCGGAAGCCUGAUGCAGCAACGCCGCGUGCGGGAUGACGGCCUUCGGGUUGUAAACCGCUUUCGCCUGUGACGAAGCGUGAGUGACGAUAAUGGGUAAAGAAGCACCGGCUAACUACGUG
rnacentral:rRNA from 1 species